CUUGCUGGGCGGAUUAGUGGCGAACGGGUGAGUAACACGUGAGUAACCUGCCCUUGACUCUGGGAUAAGCCCGGGAAACUGGGUCUAAUACCGGAUAGGAGCGCCUGUCGCAUGACGGGUGCUGGAAAGAUCUUUCGGUCAUGGAUGGACUCGCGGCCUAUCAGCUUGUUGGUGAGGUAACGGCUCACCAAGGCGACGACGGGUAGCCGGCCUGAGAGGGUGACCGGCCACACUGGGACUGAGACACGGCCCAGACUCCUACGGGAGGCAGCAGUGGGGAAUAUUGCACAAUGGGCGAAAGCCUGAUGCAGCGACGCCGCGUGAGGGAUGACGGCCUUCGGGUUGUAAACCUCUUUCAGCAGGGAAGAAGCGAAAGUGACGGUACCUGCAGAAGAAGCACCGGCUAACUACGUGCCAGCAGCCGCGGUAAUACGUAGGGUGCGAGCGUUAUCCGGAAUUAUUGGGCGUAAAGAGCUCGUAGGCGGUUUGUCACGUCUGUCGUGAAAGUCCGGGGCUUAACCCCGGAUCUGCGGUGGGUACGGGCAGACUAGAGUGCAGUAGGGGAGACUGGAAUUCCUGGUGUAGCGGUGGAAUGCGCA
rnacentral:rRNA from 1 species